AUCGAACGCUGGCGGCAGGCCUAAUACAUGCAAGUCGAACGAGUGGCGGACGGGUGAGUAAUGUCGGGGAACCUGCCUGAUGGAGGGGGAUAAGUAGGGGAAACGGUAGCUAAUACUGCAUACGACGCGAUGUGCCCAGAGGGGAUGAGCUUGGUGGUGGGGUAACGGCUCACCAAGGCGACGAUCCCUAGCUGGUCUGCGAGGGUGACCGGCCACACUGGGACUGAGACACGGUCCAGACUCCUACGGGAGGCAGCAGUGGGGAAUAUUGCGCAAUGGGCGAAAGCCUGAUGCAGCCAUGCCGCGUGUAUGAAGAAGGCCUUCGGGUUGUAAAGUACUUUCAGCGGGGAGGCGUUACCCGCAGAAGAAGCACCGGCUAACUCCGUGCCAGCAGCCGCGGUAAUUC
rnacentral:rRNA from 1 species